rnacentral:rRNA from 1 species
GACGAACCUCACAAACGUUAUUCGGAUUUACUGGGCUUAAAGGGUGCGUAGGCGGCAUGGAAAGUUGGGUGUGAAAUCCCUCGGCUCAACCGAGGAACUGCGCUUGAAACUACCAGACUCGAGGGAGAUAGAGGAAAGCGGAACUGAUGGUGGAGCGGUGAAAUGCGUUGAUAUCAUCAGGAACACCGGUGGCGAAGGCGGCUUUCUGGGUCUUACCUGACGCUGAGGAACGAAAGCUAGGGGAGCGAAGCGGG